rnacentral:sRNA from 1 species
AUUUUACGGUUUUAGUUUAGUAUUAAAGUUAUAUAAUUUUAUAUUAAUGUUGUAACUAAAAAAAUUGGUGAUGAUAAAAUAAUAAAAUAAAUAUUUAACUUGUGUUAUAUCAAUCCAAACCCGUCCUGCUAUAUUUCAUAUCAAUCCAAACCUGUCCCGCUAUAUUUUACGUCCCAUGAUAUUUUAAUUUUUUAUAAGUUUAAAUAGUAGUUGUGGAAUUAGUUGUGAUUGUGAUUUUAUGCCAAAAAAGUUAUGGACUUUUAAUUCCAUGGAAUAUUCAAACC